AUUCUGGCUCAGGAUGAACGCUGGCGGCGUGCUUAACACAUGCAAGUCGAACGGGAUCCACCGGGCUUUGCUUGGUGGUGAGAGUGGCGAACGGGUGAGUAAUGCGUGACCGACCUGCCCCAUACACCGGAAUAGCUCCUGGAAACGGGUGGUAAUGCCGGAUGCUCCAGUUGAUCGCAUGGUCUUCUGGGAAAGCUUUCGCGGUAUGGGAUGGGGUCGCGUCCUAUCAGCUUGACGGCGGGGUAACGGCCCACCGUGGCUUCGACGGGUAGCCGGCCUGAGAGGGCGACCGGCCACAUUGGGACUGAGAUACGGCCCAGACUCCUACGGGAGGCAGCAGUGGGGAAUAUUGCACAAUGGGCGCAAGCCUGAUGCAGCGACGCCGCGUGAGGGAUGGAGGCCUUCGGGUUGUAAACCUCUUUUAUCGGGGAGCAAGCGAGAGUGAGUUUACCCGUUGAAUAAGCACCGGCUAACUACGUGCCAGCAGCCGCGGUAAUACGUAGGGUGCAAGCGUUAUCCGGAAUUAUUGGGCGUAAAGGGCUCGUAGGCGGUUCGUCGCGUCCGGUGUGAAAGUCCAUCGCUUAACGGUGGAUCCGCGCCGGGUACGGGCGGGCUUGAGUGCGGUAGGGGAGACUGGAAUUCCCGGUGUAACGGUGGAAUGUGUAGAUAUCGGGAAGAACACCAAUGGCGAAGGCAGGUCUCUGGGCCGUUACUGACGCUGAGGAGCGAAAGCGUGGGGAGCGAACAGGAUUAGAUACCCUGGUAGUCCACGCCGUAAACGGUGGAUGCUGGAUGUGGGGCCCGUUCCACGGGUUCCGUGUCGGAGCUAACGCGUUAAGCAUCCCGCCUGGGGAGUACGGCCGCAAGGCUAAAACUCAAAGAAAUUGACGGGGGCCCGCACAAGCGGCGGAGCAUGCGGAUUAAUUCGAUGCAACGCGAAGAACCUUACCUGGGCUUGACAUGUUCCCGACCGCGGCAGAGAUGUCGUUUCCCUUCGGGGCGGGUUCACAGGUGGUGCAUGGUCGUCGUCAGCUCGUGUCGUGAGAUGUUGGGUUAAGUCCCGCAACGAGCGCAACCCU
rnacentral:rRNA from 1 species